ensembl:lncRNA
CACUCCAGUACUCUUGCCUGGAAAAUUCCAUGGAUGGAGGAGCCUGGUAGGCUACAGUCCAUGGGGUCGCAAAGAGUUGGACACGACUGAGUGACUUCAUUGUCAAUGUCAGUGACUUCAGGGUCCUGAGUUUCCGUCUCCCCUUUGAGUCUUUGGCCGGUUACAUCCUCAAUAAGAUGCCGGAGUUUCAGAGUAGUACCCAGGUACAACAGUGUCUAGAGAAGGAAAAUUAUCUUUCAUGUAGCUGUGUAAGGAUGUGGAAGCUUUGCUUAGAAGCACUGGCAGACCUGCCUCCUGGCUCACAGGCCUGUUUCUGAAACACUCACUAGAAAGGGAAAUGGAAUGACAUUUAGACCAGUCGGACACGUGCGUGGAACUGAGUGCUUUCCCUGAGCACGUGCCUAAAUGGGUGAGUGUGCAGAAGAGUUCUGGACAAAAUUGACUUAGGUUACAGCGGAAAAGGGGGAAAUUGGAGGCUGGGUGGGUAACUCUGACCCUACUCUGGUAUUUGACAUAAGCUUUAAGACGCUGUCUAUUGGUUUUCUGAAGUGUGUGUGCUCAGUCUUGUCUGACUGCGAACCCGUAAACUGUAGCUCGCCAGGCUCCUCUGUCGAUGGAAUUCUCUAGGCAAGAGUACUGGAGUGGGGGAGUGGGUGUCAUUGUUUUUAGACUGACGUCUUCCAUCUAUCCGUUGUAGUUACACGUAUGUUUUCGUAGAGUGUAUUCAGUGUAGUGUUAUGAUUAUGUAAGUCUUGCUCACUGUAGAGGCAAAUUGUAUACUGUGAUUACAUUUCCCUCCUUGUAUAAUUUUGUUUUUCCCGUUUUGUUUUCCUCCUGUGGUUUUGUUUUGCUUUGUUUUCUAGGUCCUCCUGUUAACUUUCCCCAUACCUUCUAAUAGCCUCUCUGUAUAGUUUUGCACAAAGAUUAGAUAAUUGCCCUAUGCCUCAUUCUCACCCACCCCACCCCCUUCCUUAAGGGCCCCUCCAUCAAACCACUCCUAUAUGGGAAUUAAAUGUUGUUGAUUAAAGUGCGGUUGAUUUACAGUAUUGUGUUUCUGCUGUAUCGCAGAGUGAGUCCAUUAUACAUACAUGUAUGUGCUCUCUUUUAGGGUCUUUUCCUAUGUAUGUCGUUGUUUAGCUGCCGAGUCGUGUCCGACUCUUUGCGACCCCAUGGACUGUAGCCCACCCAGCUCCUCGGUCCACGGGAUUUCCCAGGCAAGGAUACUGGAGUGGGUUGCUAUUUCCUCCUCCAACUUUUUUCUUUCAUUUUGUCAGCACAGCUUUUAGACUUCCCGAGAAAGAGUGCAUGAGAGGUUAGUUUUUUGAGACAUCAUCUGAAAGUGUCUUUAAUCUGAUUUCUUUCAGGAGUAAAAGUUUUGACUGGGUAUAGAAUUGCAGUUGGAAUGUAAUUUUUACUGAGAACUCUGAAUGAAUUGCUUUAUGCUUUUCUAGCUUCUUAUAGCAGAUAUAAUUUGUAUUCUCGGUUCCAAAAGUAUGGAAAAGUCAGAGGACAUAAUGCACUCUCAUGUAACCAUUACCCAUCUUCAGCAGUCGUCAGCUCAUGGCCACUUUUUAAAAAUUUAUAAUCCUGUCUGUCCUUCUUCCUUUUCAUUUCAUACCAGCAAACCCAGAUACAUAAUUUUACUUGCGAAUAUUUGUCUCUCUAAAAGAUAAGGGCUCGUUUGUGAACUAUAACCCUUGUAGUAAUAUCAUACCUUUAAAAGAUUAAAAAUAAUUCUUCAAAUAUCCAGUUUAAGUUCAAAUUACCUUGAUUGCCUCAUAAUUAUAUUUUAAAACAGUUUAUUCAAAUUAGAAUCUUAAGUAAGGUCCAUAAAUUGUCAGACUGACAAACCUCUGAAGUCUCUUUUAAUCUGUUGGUGUUAUUUUUUUCCCUUGAGUUUUAUUUGUUGAAGAAACUGUGUUCUCUGUCUUGAAGUUUUCUAUAGCCUCUGCAUUGCUGAGUGAAACCCUGUGGUGUCAUUGACGUGUCCCCGUCCCUUGCAGUGUAUUUCCUAUAUGUGGUAGUGAGAUCUAGAGACUUGAUAAGAUUCUGUGUGUGUGUGUGUGUGUGUUUUGAGAGGUGGUAAGUAGGGAGAAUACUACAUGGGUGGUAUGUUAUCUUUAGGAGGCAUAAAAUAUCUGACUCUGUGAUGCUAGUGACUACUAAAUAUUAAUGUGGAUCCAUUGAUUUAUUUGAGAUAUUGGUUCUUUUUAUGUGAACCCUCCCACUCCCCAGGAGUUUUGAGGAUCUGAUCUUCAUCUGUACUGUUCGGAAGUUUUGUAGUGUUGCCUUGAAUAUUUUUUGUUUAUUUUUUACCCGUAUUGGGAGAUAUUUUUCAACUUUUUAUUUUCCAUCAGGAUAUAUUUUUUAUGUUCUCUGCUCCCUACCCCGCCCCCCCCCCCCCCCGCCCUUGCCCUUUCUUUCUUUUCAUUAGUAUUUUGUUUUUACUUCAUGGUUUCACAUAUUCUUUUACCUCUUCAGGCACAUUCAUAUUAUGAUUAAUUGCCUUUUUUUUCCCCUUCAUGGCAUUGUCUCUGUUUCCUGCGGAUUCUUGUUUUUCUGCUUGCUUUGAUUUCUGUCUUUGAGUUUUGGCAGCUUUCCUCAAAUAUCUGGCCAUCCCUGGGCUGGUGGCUUGCGUUUAGGAGUAAGUGGUGAUAAAGCUGAAAAGAAGCUAUUUUCGUGGGUGAAGCUUGCUCACUGAAGGCAUAUUAGUGUGGUGCUUGAGGGACCUGUAAGCGUGAGUGCCCUUGUUUUACUCCAGGGCUCUUGUUGAUGAGUCGCUAAGGUGUGUCCGACUCGUUGCUACUCUGUGGACUGUAACCGACCAGGCUCCUCUGUCCAUGGGAUUUCCCAGGCAAGAGUACUGGAGUAGGGUGCCGGUUCCUUCUUCAAGGGAUCUUCCUGAUCCAGGGAUCAAAUCUGCAUCCCCUGUGUUGGCAGGUGGAUUGUUUACCUGCUGCUGAGCCACCGAGGAAGCUCCUUGCAGUCUUCCGCCUCACCUGUUCUCUUGUGCUUGGUCUCUCCACGGGUGGAGUCUCUGUGUGUUUUCCCCAGAGAGCGUGCAUGCCUCUGGUCUGUUUGGGGACAUGAUCGUUGCCAGCCCGGAUAGGAUUUGGGUUGCAAUAUGGGGUUUUACUGCAUUUAAUUUGCUUAUUUGUUGAAAUGAACUCAGAUAAGUUGCAGGUAGAAUAUAAAUAACUUUUAUUUCUUGAAUCUUUUGAGAUAAAGUUGUUGACAUGAAGUCUCUUCUUUGUUGAAUCUUGUAGUGCAUUUUUCCUAUAAACAGAGACGUUCUCUUGCCUGACGACAGUACAGCCAUCAGAGGCAGAAAUUUAACAUUGAUAUAUUACAGUUGUCUGAUCCUUAGGCCUCCAUUCAGCUUUCAGUCGUUGCCCCAGUGGUAUUCCUUUAUAGAAGGAUACAGUCAAUCUAGGAUCACUUAACACCUUUUGUUGUCAUGUCUCUCCAAUUCUUGAUCUACAGUAGUCCUUCAGCUGCUCUUUCUUUUAUGAUAUUGAUAUAUUUGAAGACUACAGGCCAGUUAUUUUAGAGAGUCCCUCUCAAUGUGAGUUUGUCUGAUGUUUCUUUACUAGAUGUAGGCUGAACAUCUUGGCCAGGAGUAUCAUGGAAGGGAUGCUAUGUUAAUUUCAGUGCAUUUUGUUAGAUGGUGUAUUACUGAUUUUCAGUUUGUGCUGUAAAAAAUAUUACCACAAGUUCAGUGGCUUAAAAAAACACACAUUAUGUCACAGUUCUGAGUUCAGAAGUCCAAAAUGGAUCUGCUCUGGGCUCAAGUCUUGGUGUUGGUAGGGCUGCAUCCCUCGUGGAGACUGUAAGUUCAUGUGCCUGCCCUCUCCUGGUUCUGGGGGCCAUCUGCUUUUCUUGGCUUGGGUCUCCCCCUCUUUGCACAACUGGCCACUGUGGACCUCGCGCACCUGUGCUGCCGUCUCUCUCCUUCCUGCUUUCACUCUGGAGGGGUUUUGUGAUUUCACUGGGCCCACUGGGGUCAUUGAGGUUAGUCUCAAUUUUAAAGUUAUGUGAUUGGCAAAUUUAAUUUUCUGUGCAGCCGUGAUUCCCCUUUGCUAUGUAAAGGAACGCGUUCACAGGUGCCGAGGGUCAGGUUGUGGAGCACGCUUGGGCGGGGUGGUACCGUGCCUACUGCCGGGGGCAUAUGAUUUCCGUUGGUACCAUUAUUGAUAACAUUCACUUUGAUUACUUGAUUAUGGUGGUGCCUUCAGACUCCUCCAUUUUAAAGUUACUUUUCCUCCCUUUUUGUAAUAAGUAUUUUGUACAGAGAUACUUUGCGACUGUGUAAAAUAUUGUCGGUUACCGACUUUUAACGUGUUUACUUGUUUUGUAUCACUGUGGGUACCUGAUUUUCUGUUUCAUGCAGUGGGUUGUAAUCUAUUACUGCAUUGAUUUUGGUGCUUCACUUGCCCCAGAUUUCGCCAGGUUGACUUCUGUGUCCUUUUAGCCUAGUAUCAAAAUCUGGGCAUCUGAUAUAUCUGGUACAUUUCUGGUAAAUGCAUGCCUUAUUUCUUUAGUUUUUAAACUUGCAUUUGUGUGUGUGAGCAUAGUCUUUUGUAACUUUUCUGUUCCUUGUAUAGAUUUGGGUAAGCUAGUCCUACAGUCAAAGAGAGCUGUUCUAUCACUUUAGAAGAACGCUUUUUGCUACCUGUUUGUAUUCCCAAUACCCCCUCCACCGUUUUGUUUAUUCUCCGUGUUUGUAGUUUUGUCACUUCAGUGUGUGAGAUGAGUGGAAUCAUACAGUAUGUAACCUUUCUAAGAUCAGCCUUUUUCACAAAGCGUAAUGCCUUGAGGUCCGUUUGGUGUUGUGCACAGCAGUAGUUAAUCUUUCUUAUUGCUGAGUAGGGUUCUGUUGUAUGCUUGUACCAAGUUUGUUAAACCAUUCAACUAUUGAAGGGCAUUUGGAUUGUUUCGAGUAUUUUGUAUGAUAUUGUGAAUAAAGCUGCUGUGAAUGUCUGUGACAGAUGUCUGUGCGGCGUCCUCUGCGUCAGGGGGUGGGGUCUGCGCGUGCUGCUGGGCCCCAUGCUGGGCGUGUGUGCAGUCCUCUAGGCACCCCCAGAGUCUCCCCGUGGUGUGUGUGCCCGCUGUGUUCUCAGCAGCGCCGCACGAGGGGCCAGUUCCUCGGCAUCUGCCCACCGUCUGGUAUUAUCACCCUUUUAUUCAGCUGUGGGUGUCGUGCUCUACUGUGGUUUCAGUGUGCAUUUUCUUAAUAACUAAGGAUGUUAAACAUCUUUUCAUUUGCUUGUUUGCUAUCUCUGUCUCCUCUUUGGUGAAAUAUCUGUUCAUGUCUUUCG